rnacentral:lncRNA from 1 species
UGGAUUUCUUUUCUCUUGUAAAACUUAUUUAAGUUUUUCAGAACUUCACCCUUGUCGAGGGGUCGCGUGAGCUCGGCGCCCACGUCCUCCUCCGCCGCGCCCUCGACAGGCUUCAGCGGCACGGGCACGAAGAGGGAGGUGUCGGGGGCCCGCAAACCGCCGCCACCCGACGAUGAGGAGGAGGAAGAGGCGGCGGCUUGGCGAAGACGGACUGCCCCGCCAUGGCGCAAGGCGAGCCCCACGCGGGACGACAGCCGCAGCAGCGGCCACGCGCACCGCCUCAUCGGCAGCGAAG